AAUUAAAACAAAAAUGAUAAAGCAUAAAAACAAUGAUUAACAACUAAAAACAUCAUAAAACAACAAUUAAAUAAUCAGAACAAUUUAAAAACAAGUUUUAAAAAGCUGAGAAAGCCUGGUUGAAGAGAUGUGUUUUUUGAAAAUUGCCAGAGAUGGGGAGGAUCGUAUCGCAGCAGGGAGUGCAUCUCGGGGCAGCAGCCAAGAAGGCCCGUCUCUGUGUAGCCACCAAACGCGUUGGCGGUAACUGGAGACGGACCUCCGCAGAUGACCUCAGUGGGCGGUGGGGCUCAUAGUGGAGAAGACGCUCUCUUAAAUACCCAGGGCCUAAGCCGUUUACGGCUUUAUAAGUUACUAGUAUUUUUAAGCCCGUUAAAAUAACGGGCGCUAGUAGGGUUGUGUAGUUAUGUUUGUUUGAUCUGUAUCUCCUCUACAGCAAGGGUUGUGUUUUUUGUUUUAUUUCCUUCUAACUCUGGUUUAAGCCCUGCCUUUGCCUUCACAGUAGUUGAACCUUCAGAUUCCAGAACCCAGACGGAAGAUUUGAAGAAAUGAAGUGAUUUUUUUUCACCCCUGCAAGUGGCAAGGUGUUCCAAAGUACCGGGUUGCAAUUCACCUUGGAAAUUUCCCAGCUAAAGGGGAUUAGUCUGGGGCAAUAGAUGGCUGACUCCCCCCCCCCUUUUGGUGGGGAAUCCUGGGGUUUCCAUGGCUACUACUUUUGUUCUUAAUCCAGCUACUUUACUUCCUUUUGAGCUUACAGAAGACCAAGAACAUGAUUGCUUGCAAGCUGUGGACUGCAUCUAUGCCAAGCCAUCCUGAUCUUAAAGAUAAACCUCUCCAAAAUGCAGACUUUGAGCUGUACAUGGAUGGAGGCAGCUUCAUGUAAGAUGGACAAUGUAAGCUGGCUAUGCAGUAGUGACUGACCAUGAAGUCCUGGUGGUGGAAUCUCUUUCUCCAGGUAUCUCAGCACAGCUUGCAGAGCUCAUCACCUUCAAGGUAAUUUUUACACAACUCAUGGGGCCACUUGGAAAGAAAGAAGAUUUUAACAGUGGGAAACAAGGAAGUCAAGUAUGGGACACAGAUAUCAGAACUCUAGACUGCUGUUACACGACUAGAAGAGGUUGCAGUCAUCCAUACCAGAGGUCACCAGAGGGAAAUGACCCAGUGCCAAAGGGUAAUUGGAUGGCAGAUGCUGCAGCUAAAACCGCUGCUCCUUCUGUUCCUGUUUCCAAGCAUCUUGGAUUCCUGUGCUAACUAUCUUGGCACAACCCCCCCACAUAUUCAGAAAAAGGACAUUGACUUUGCACCACAGCAGGGGGCGCAUUUAGAAGAGGAUGGCUGGUAAAGAACUCUUUAAUGUGAUCCGGAUUGUCAAAUGACCCAGCAAUCUUGCUUUUGUGUACCUGUGAUAGACUUGUGUACUUGCUUGAUUGCAGGAUGCUAAGGGAAUAUGCUUGUAUCAGACCCGUUCAACUUCUUGCCGUAAAUAAACCUGGCCAAUGAUAGUG